CAAGGAAUUUUGCGCAAUGGGCGAAAGCCUGACGCAGCAACGCCGCGUGAGGGAUGAAGGCCUUCGGGUUGUAAACCUCUUUUGUCAGGGACGAAUAAUGACGGUACCUGGCGAAUAAGCUUCGGCUAACUACGUGCCAGCAGCCGCGGUAAUACGUAGGAAGCAAGCGUUAUCCGGAUUUACUGGGCGUAAAGUGAGCGUAGGUGGCCUUUCAAGUCAGAUGUGAAAUCUCCUGGCUUAACCAGGAGGGGUCAUUUGAUACUGUUGGGCUAGAGGACAUCAAGGGAAGGUGGAAUUCCGGGUGUAGUGGUGAAAUGCGUAGAUAUCCGGAGGAACACCAGUGGCGAAGGCGGCCUUCUGGGAUGUUUCUGACACUGAGGCUCGAAAGUGUGGGGAGCGAACA
rnacentral:rRNA from 1 species